GAUGAAGAACGUAGCGAAAUGCGAUAAGUAAUGUGAAUUGCAGAAUUCAGUGAAUCAUCGAAUCUUUGAACGCACAUUGCGCCCGUCAGUAUUCUGGCGGGCAUGCCUGUUCGAGCGUCAUUACGCCCCUCAAGUCCCCUGUGGACUUGGUGUUGGGGAUCGGCGAGGCUGGUUUUCCAGCACUGCCGUCCCUUAAAUUAAUUGGCGGUCUCGCCGUGGCCCUCCUCUGCGCAGUAGUAAAACACUCGCAACAGGAGCCCGGCGCGGUCCACUGCCGUAAAACCCCCCAACUUUUUAUAGUUGACCUCGAAUCAGGUAGGACUACCCGCUGAACUUAAGCAUAUCAAUAAGCGGAGGA
rnacentral:misc_RNA from 1 species